UACGUAGGGUGCGAGCAUUGUCCGGAAUUAUUGGGCGUAAAGAGCUCGUAGGCGGCCUGUCACGUCGGAUGUGAAAGCCCGGGGCUUAACCCCGGGUCUGCAUUCGAUACGGGCAGGCUGGAGUUCGGUAGGGGAGAUCGGAAUUCCUGGUGUAGCGGUGAAAUGCGCAGAUAUCAGGAGGAACACCGAUGGCGAAGGCAGGUCACUGGGCCGCAACUGACGCUGAGGCACGAAAGCGUGGGGAGCAAACAGG
rnacentral:rRNA from 1 species